rnacentral:rRNA from 1 species
AUGAUCAUCUUCAAACCAUCGUCGGCGACAUACAUUGUCAACGUCGCGAUCGGAUCGAAUGCAGAUUGCAAUCGCCCGUUCUGGAUUUAUGGUGCCAAAAUCCUCUUCCAUUGUUUCAGCGUUUGCGUUAUUCUCCCGUGUGCACACUGCACAACGGAUAAAAGGCAGCGAGACGGAGGCGGCCAAGCCAAGAAAUUGAUGGCGGGAGCAGAGAGCGCGCGGCCGGCGCCUCCGGUGCUGCCGUGGACGGUGCGGCUCCAGGUGCUCGCGCUCGGGGCCGCCUGCGACCUCUCGCAGCGCCGCGACGGCACCGUGAACCGCUUCCUCUUUUCGUUCGCCGACCGCCAGACCCCGGCGAGACCGCGCCCGGACGCGCUCGGCGUCCGCUCCGCUGACGUCAUGGUCAACGCCGACAGAAGCCUCUGGGCGCGCGUCUUCUCCCCUUCCGCAGGUAAAGCCGAGGCGGCGCCGCUCCCCGUCCUCGUGUACUUCCACGGCGGCGGCUUCGCGCUGCUCUCCGCGGCGUCCGCGCCCGUGGACGCCAUGUGCCGCCGCUUCUGCAGCGAGCUGGGCGCCGUGGUCGUCUCCGUCAACUAUCGCCGCGCGCCCGAGCACCGUUACCCCGCGGCCUACGAUGACUGCGCGAACGUGCUCAGCUACCUUGCCACCACCGGCCUCCCUGCCGACAUCGGCAUCCCAGUCGACCUCUCCCGGUGCUUCCUCUUCGGGGACAGCGCCGGCGGCAACAUCGCCCACCACGUGGCCCACCGAUGGACCUCCUCGGCACCCGCUGCUUCUGAUAACACUGUCCGCCUCGCCGGUAUCAUCCUGCUGCAGCCGUACUUCGGCGGCGAGGAGCGCCCAAAAGCAGAGCUGAGGCUGGAGGGCGUGGGGCCGGUGGUGAACAUGCGCCGCUCGGACUGGUCAUGGAAGGCGUUCCUGCCGGAGGGGGCCGAUCGGAACCACCCGGCGGCGCACGUGACUGGCGAGGCGGGCCCGGAGCCCGAGCUACCGGAGGCGUUCCCGCCGGCGAUGGUCUCCGGUACGAUGGGAACGAGGAACGGGAACGGGGGACGAGAGUCGGAGGCUAGAAAAAAUAGGGUACAACGGGGGUAUACAUCUCUAGAACGAUUUUUCUAA